UAACGGAGUCGACGUUAAUGCUGUCGUAA
rnacentral:sRNA from 1 species